UGUUACAUAUGCAAUUGCUUGCUUUCUCUUUUGACUUUUUCUUUCUAUCCCAAGUAUCUUAUCAUCACCAUGAGAGAGCCCAAUACAUUCCUUUUUUUGUUUACGAUAAUUAUGCUUCAAUUCUAGGCAUUCUGGAAGAACAUUUAACAAAACCCCUUUUUGUUUUAUCCAUUAGUAUCCACUACCAACAAGAAAUUCACAAGGCUGGAGAGGUGAUCCCAUUGUAUGUGGGUAAAAGGAAUAUGGUAUGCGAAGCUGAUGGAGGUUUAAAUUAUAUAAGAGAGCCAUUUGGUCUUGAUAACAAUUGUUUCUGGGUCAUCUUGUAAGUGUCUAACAUAGGCACCGGUAAUGUAAUGACCCAAAGUUGUUAUGUCCGCAUGUGGCAAUAGAAUAAUCAUGAAAAGGGAAAUUGGGAAUUAGUUUAAAUAAACGGUGAAGAUCGUAAGGAAUCAACGGUGGGAUUAAUACAUCAAAUAGUCCAGCUCAUCACCAACUCGGCUAAGUCAGCAAAAUAUAUAAACAACAUAACCGAAAUUGGGAAAAACAGUUAUUGAAUUGCCAGUACUCUUUUCCUAAAUUCUUCUUUCUAUAGUUUUCUUUAUCUUCUUUUCUUCUUCUUCAUCUUUCCUAUCUAACCUAGUCUUUCCUAUCUCUUCUUCUUCGUCUUGAGUAGUUAGCUUUUAGUUGUAUACUUGUAACUGUUGACUCUUCUAUAAACAAAAUUCCUUUUCAUUACUGUGAUUCGCAAUUCAUAGUUAUCUUGUUUAGGACAUUACAAGUGGUAUCAAAGCAACGAACCUAUCUCGACUGGGGGUAGUAAUUCGAAGAAGAUGUUUGUAGAAUCAUCAACGUUGGUUGAAUUGGUUGAACGAAACAAUGCAAAAAGAAUGACCCAUAUGGAUGGAAUGUCAGAUAUAGUUGUAAAUGUUAAACAAUUGCAGAGGUGGUGUGAGGAUUGCAUAUGUAGCAUUGACUGCCAAUGCGACUCUUGUGUCUAUGGUUGCGUACGCAUCAUUGACUGUCAUUGCUACAUUUGUCAUGAUGAUUGUUUGAGGGAAAAGAAUGAAGAGGAAAACCGGGUUGAGAUGAUGGAAUCGAUGGGGGAAAUUGCUGAACAAAAGGAUAAAUCUAGUGUGGGUGUAUGUUUUACUGGGAAGUGCAAUGAGUUGAACGAAUGUGUCGAAAUCGAGGCUAUCAUAACAACAAUGGAAAUUGACAUAACAGAGUAUGCAUAAUAAAGGAGCUAAAGCUAGCAGCAAUGAGGGGAACUUGACAGCUCCUGAUGACGGAAGCAAUGAGCUUAAAAGCAACAGGGAGGGAGAUGAUAGCAGCAAGGUUGCACCAGAUACCAUUACAAAAAUGGGGGAUUCAAGUAGCCUUCCAUCAGUAAAAGAAAAUUCCUCUUUUGAGGCAGUUCCUCCUGAAAAUCAUAAUGGUCAACUGAAUGAGCAAAACACUCAGGAUAAGGUCAUAGAGAGCGUCAGUUAACAGAGUUUAGAAGAUUACAACCAGUUUCUCUACAAAUAUUAUGAACUUGAGGAUCAGAGACAAAAGAUUUUGCAGAAACUUAACCAGUUUGGCAUCUCGGGUGAUCAAAAUUCUGGUUCUACUUCACAAGAACAUCAAGUUUAUGUAUCACAGAAUUUGAAUCCAAUAGAAUCUUCGUUCUACUGCCCAUAUGGAUGCCAAAGUUGGGUGUCUCCAUGCACUGCAUCACCUUGUUGUUUGGGUGGAGAUCAGGAUGGCAACCUAUGCAAUACUUUUUUACAACGUGUUCAAGAAAAGAACUCGUCUCCUCAAAACCCUAAUUUGGUUAACAUAGUAAUGGAAGCUGCAGAAAAAGCACUCUCCUCCUUAAAGCAAGCUUCUAACACGGCUUCACUGGAUUCAUUUGCAAAGGAAGGAAAACAAAUAGAGAUGAUGAACCCUGCUGCAGAGAAAACUGCAGGCUUUGAUACAGAUCUAAAGGAAGUGCUGAAUGUGUGGUACUCUGCAGGCUUUUACACUGGAAAGUAUCUUUCAAAGCAAUCCAAGAAGCGAGAUGGUUAACUUGGUACUUAUUCAGCUGGAAUUAUUGUCAAAUUGACAAAGAAAACAAAAUCAUGUAUUAAUGUUACCGAGUCAAAAAUCAUGUGUUAGUGUUACUGAGGCCUUUGUACACUAGAAUUCGAUGCUCUGAUGUAAAAUUGGAUGUUGUACAACACUUCUGGUUGGUUGAUUUUUCGAAAUAUAUUGGCUAAGUAGUUCUUUUUGGCGAGUUAAUUUCAA